CCUACGGGGGGCAGCAGUGGGGAAUAUUGGACAAUGGGGGCAACCCUGAUCCAGCCAAGCCGCGUGUGUGAAGAAGGCCCUCGGGUUGUAAAGCACUUUCAGUGAGGAAGAACGCCUGGUGGUUAAUACCCAUCAGGAAAGACAUCACUCACAGAAGAAGCACCGGCUAACUCCGUGCCAGCAGCCGCGAUAAUACGGAGGGUGCGAGCGUUAAUCGGAAUUACUGGGCGUAAAGCGCGCGUAGGUGGCUUGAUAAGCCGGUUGUGAAAGCCCCGGGCUCAACCUGGGAACGGCAUCCGGAACUGUCAAGCUAGAGUGCAGGAGAGGAAGGUAGAAUUCCCGGUGUAGCGGUGAAAUGCGUAGAGAUCGGGAGGAAUACCAGUGGCGAAGGCGGCCUUCUGGACUGACACUGACACUGAGGUGCGAAAGCGUGGGUAGCAAACAGGAUUAGAUACCCUGGUAGUC
rnacentral:rRNA from 1 species